rnacentral:sRNA from 1 species
CUUAUUCUCCUCAGAAAAACCAGAGCCUCUGUCAUGCUAACCUGGCGCAGCCUCUAUCAAAUGGCUCAAAUAUAAAGUCUGAGUUUAGAAAUUUCUCUGCUUUGCAUGGCUCCGAAGUGACAGGUGAGGAGUGCCAAAUGGGUGUGGAUUACUCCUGCAAUCAGCACUUUCUUUCUCAAACUUUUCAUGCUUCUUCUGAUAGUGCAUCGAAGGUAAUACAAAGGAGCUUCAGCUGUAACUCUUUCGGGGUGAAGCCAGGUUUCCCCGUUGAACCUCACCACGACACUCUCAUGGAUUCCACAAAUUUUCAAUUGCAUGCUCUGAUUUCCCCCGAAAACAGUUUCUUCACGGGACAAAUGAGGAGGGUGUACAGUACUGGAGAUUUACAGAACACGAAAGCAACAGAUAUGUCUCAAGUGGAGAGCCCCUUGUUGGAGGAAGCAUACUUCAAAGUGGGGCGUUACAGUGCCGAAGAAAGAAAAGAAAAAAUCUCUAAAUACAGAGCGAAGAGAAGCCAGAGGAAGUUCAACAAGAUUAUCAA